rnacentral:ncRNA from 1 species
AUCUUAUAUAGAUGUAUAAAUGCAAGACAAUUUAGCAUCUCCCUUUAAGGUAAUUUAUUUUAGAAGCUCAAGCAACAAACUUUAUUGUUUUGAUUAAAAAAAUCAAUGAAUUGGAAUUAUUUUUUUUCAGUUGAAAUGAGGUGAGCGAGAGUGAAAUGGGUUAACCGUGAGACCUUGAGUUGAAAAACUCUAAAAUUGAUCUAAAAAUGGAAUUUUUUUAUUUUCUUGUUUUUUAGUUACGGUUUG